CUUCACCUUGCUGUCUAAUAAAGCUGAAAAUGCUGCCUUGAAGGCAACUGAUUUUGGCCUCUCUGUGUUCAUUGAGCAAGGGUGAAAAUGUUGAGAAAUGUAGUUUAAGCAUCUGAUCGUUGACGAGUUUAAGAAAGUUUAACAACUCUCAUCCUUGCAAAGGUGAGCUCGGUUGGAGUUACUGGAGCUCGGGCAUCUGUGAGUGACAAGGUUGAGUCCAUUCUAAAGCAAAUUAAGGAGUUCCAACAAGUUGAUUAUGACAAAGCGGUUAUUGAUCUGG